rnacentral:lncRNA from 1 species
AGGAACAAUGGAAUGUUGGAUUCCUUUUCUUGUCCAGGUUCUGUACAGUGAGUGGAAGUCACAGGUAAGGAACAGUGAGGAAAAUAACCUGUAGGUUUCACAGGAAUGAUCUACCAAGAACCACUGCAUGUACCACUGUGGUAGAAGUUAAGGAGUCUUCAUAGGAUGCUGGAUGAAGGCUGGAUACUUCUAUAUCAGCAGAAUGCUUUGUUUUAUGGCCUCUUGAUGCUGGAAUCAGCUCCACUUUCCCAAAGAAGAGGAAGAAAAUACUCCUGUCUGAAUCUGUGAUUGCCCUCUGUAGAGUUAAAUGUUCAAAGUGAAGACAACUUUUAAGAACAGAGCAAGAAAGGCAUGUAAUAACCAAAUAUAACUACCACCUUCUCUAAUAUGAGAACCAUGUCUUUAAGCGUAAAGUUGUUCUAGCCUUAGUAUAGAAUAUAGAAAAAUAUGCUUUCUACUGUAUCAUCUAUGAAGGAAAGAAGCUGUUCCUGCUCAUAGUUCUUCAGGUCUAUGCAGGAUGCCAGCCGCUCCUCAGCUCUGGUGAGGGUCUCAUGGAGAACAACACAAGGAUGCGCCAGAAAUGUGUCCACGAGAGGUCACAUGGCUGACUCUGCAUUUAAGCUCACCAAGCUGUGGAGCUUUGGAGAACACCUGGUUAUAAAGAGCAGAGAGGAAGUGUGGAAAGCUACAGAGAACUCGAGCCUGUCCACCACAGCUGUAGCCGGAGCCAGAGGUAACCUUGCAGGUGUCCAGAUGGGAGGGCGAGCAGAACCACUCAACACUCAGGUGGACGUCCAUACUCAGUGGUGGAUCCAGGAACUUCAGAACAGGUAAGUGACUUUGAGAGCCCCUGCAGUAGUUUGGACAUGGUUGAAAAGUAAACAGAUGCAGCUGUCCAAAACAGAAGAAAAGAGAUUCUCCUCUGACAAUUGUUAGAUGUCAUCUCUUGGAUGUCUUCAUCCCUGGAAAAAGUAAUAGUCUAUAAGAAACUACUCGAUCUCAGCUCAUCUAAUCAGAUAGAAGCCAAACUACACUGAGGAGCCAUUCUCUCACCUCAUCAAUCUUGCACAAGAAUGAUUUAAUUGUCUCCUCAAUGUAUGUCAUUCAUGGGAAAAAUUCUGUGUUCAAUAACAUCAGCUGCAGAAGCUGGGAGUCCUAUUAAAGUUAUAGGAUAUUCACUGUGAAAAUAUACUGUCUCCUGAAGAUAAAGC